rnacentral:rRNA from 1 species
UACGUAGGGCGCAAGCGUUAUCCGGAAUUAUUGGGCGUAAAGAGCUUGUAGGCGGUCUGUCGCGUCUGCUGUGAAAAUCCGGGGCUCAACCUCGGAUCGGCCGUGGCGACUCGUGGGCUGGAGCACUGUAGAGGCGGGUGGAAUUCCGGGUGUAGCGGUGGAAUGCGUAGAGAUCCGGAAGAACACCAGUGGCGAAGGCGGCCCGCUGGGCAGUGGCUGACGCUGAAGCGCGACAGCGUGGGGAGCAAACAGG